CUAAUGAGUCCCUGCACUUAGGCUGUGGUGUGUUUGGUUCAAGAGCUGUUUAUGUGCUGCCCCGGACAGGGGCUGGUCCUCAGCAGCGUACUCUCCCGUGUAGGGGAUGGGGAGGCUUUUGUUGAGAGGGAGAAGUCUGGGCGGCCUGGUCUGGGGAAUUCAGUGGGUGCAUGGUGGUGCCAGUUAGUGAGGUGGACAAUGUGUGUGGGAACACACUAUGUGGGCUCGACUUCCACAGGAGAUGGCCAGGAGGCUCUGGAGUCGCUGGCCUGGAGCUCCUCCAAGAGCACCAGGUGGCACUAACAGGUCAAAGAGUGGCCAGCUUAGAGGGAGGAGGACAUCAAGGGAGGACUGCCCUCGGGAGGACUGCUCGCAGUGUCUAGGGAGGAGGGCAGGCAGGAGCGCUGGGGGCCCCGAAGGGGAGGGGUCGCGGGUCCCUGGGACCUGAGGGGUGUCAUCGGCUUCCUGCGUGAGGAAGGUUCCCGAGACAGGAUGGGGACAGAGACUGGAUUACAGAGGGUGUAGAGUGUAGGUUUUAUGAAAAAAUAGAGAAAAAAGCAGACUAUUUUCCAAAAAUUUU
rnacentral:lncRNA from 1 species